UACGGAGGGUGCGAGCGUUAUUCGGAAUCACUGGGCGUAAAGGGCGCGUAGGCGGCCUGGUAAGUCAGGGGUGAAAUCCCACGGCUCAACCGUGGAAUUGCCUUUGAAACUGCUGGGCUUGGAUCCUGGAGAGGGUGGCGGAAUUCCUGGUGUAGGAGUGAAAUCCGUAGAUAUCAGGAGGAACACCGGUGGCGAAGGUGGCCACCUGGACAGGUAUCGACGCUGAGGCGCGAAAGUGUGGGGAGCAAACAGG
rnacentral:rRNA from 1 species